AUUGAACGCUGGCGGCAUGCCUUACACAUGCAAGUCGAACGGCAGCACGGGUGCUUGCACCUGGUGGCGAGUGGCGAACGGGUGAGUAAUACAUCGGAACAUGUCCUGUAGUGGGGAAUAGCCCGGCGAAAGCCGGAUUAAUACCGCAUACGAUCUACGGAUGAAAGCGGGGGACCUUCGGGCCUCGCGCUAUAGGGUUGGCCGAUGGCGGAUUAGCUAGUUGGUGGGGUAAAGGCCUACCAAGGCGACGAUCAGUAGCUGGUCUGAGAGGACGACCAGCCACACUGGGACUGAGACACGGCCCAGACUCCUACGGGAGGCAGCAGUGGGGAAUUUUGGACAAUGGGCGAAAGCCUGAUCCAGCAAUGCCGCGUGUGUGAAGAAGGCCUUCGGGUUGUAAAGCACUUUUGUCCGGAAAGAAAUCCUUGGCCCUAAUACGGUCGGGGGAUGACGGUACCGGAAGAAUAAGCACCGGCUAACUACGUG
rnacentral:rRNA from 1 species